GGAAGAACUGACAGGAUUUCCUAAGCAUCCGGCCCGGGACACGUGGUCAGGGCAGGGAGAAGGGAGAAAAACAGGGUGUCCACCAGGGUGUGCACCGGGCAGGGUCCAUGGACCAGGUGUGGCAGGAGAAGAGCUGUCAGGACUUGGCAUCUGAUGGGCACUCAGCAGAUACAGGCUGUGUGAGGGGAGGAGUUUGUGGGGAGGCAGGGCUGCAGCUUUGCUCCCAUCCUGGAGGCCAG
rnacentral:lncRNA from 1 species